UACGGAGGAUCCAAGCGUUAUCCGGAUUAUUGGGUUUAAAGGGUGCGUAGGCGGCUUAUUAAGUCAGGGGUGAAGACGGUGGCUCAACCAUCGCAGUGCCCUUGAUACUGAUGAGCUUGAAUACACUUGAGGUAGGCGGAAUGUGACAAGUAGCGGUGAAAUGCAUAGAUAUGUCACAGAACACCAAUUGCGAAGGCAGCUUACUAAGGUGCAAUUGACGCUGAGGCACGAAAGCGUGGGGAUCAAACAGG
rnacentral:rRNA from 1 species